rnacentral:rRNA from 1 species
GGGCCACAUUGGGACUGAGAUACGGCCCAGACUCCUACGGGAGGCAGCAGUAGGGAAUUUUGCGCAAUGGACGAAAGUCUGACGCAGCGACGCCGCGUGAGGGAUGAAGGUCUUCGGAUUGUAAACCUCUGUUGAGUGAGAAGAAAUCGUCCGCGGGUAAUAUCUGCGGGCCUUGGCGGUAUCACUCGAGGAAGCCCCGGCUAACUACGUGCCAGCAGCCGCGGUAAUACGUAGGGGGCAAGCGUUGUUCGGAAUUACUGGGCGUAAAGGGAGUGUAGGCGGGAAGAUAAGUUAGGCGUUUAAUUCUCAGGCUCAACUUGAGACCUGCUCUUAAGACUGUCUUUCUUGAGUAUGGGAGAGGGUGAUGGAAUUCCAGGUGUAGCGGUGGAAUGCGUAGAUAUCUGGAAGAACACCAGUUGCGAAGGCGGUCACCUGGCCUAAUACUGACGCUGAGGCUCGAAAGCUAGGGGAGCAAACAGGAUUAGAUACCCUGGUAGUCCUAGCCGUAAACUAUGGACACUAGAUGCUGGAGAAGUCAAUCUCUUCAACGUCGUAGCUAACGCGAUAAGUGUCCCGCCUGGGAAGUACGCUCGCAAGGGUGAAACUCAAAGGAAUUGACGGGGGCCCGCACAAGCGGUGGAGCAUGUGCUUCAAUUCGAUGCAACGCGAAGAACCUUACCUGGGUUUGACAUGGGAGUGAAAGUCGCCAGAGAUGGUGGCCCUUCCGCAAGGAACACUCCACACAGGUGCUUCAUGGUUGUCGUCAGCUCGUGUCGUGAGAUGUUGGGUUAAGUCCCGCAACGAGCGCAACCCUCGCUCUUAGUUGCCAUCAGGUAAAGCUGGGAACUCUAAGGGGACCGCCUGUAAUAAACAGGAGGAAGGAGGGGAUGACGUCAAAUCAUCAUGGCCCUUACGUCCAGGGCAAGACACGUGCUACAAUGGCCGGUACAAUGGGCAGCAAACUCGCGAGGGUAAGCUAAUCCCCAAAAACCGGUCUCAGUUCAGAUUGGAGUCUGCAACUCGACUUCAUGAAGUUGGAAUCGCUAGUAAUCGCGGAUCAGCAUGCCGCGGUGAAUACGUUCCCGGGCCUUGUACACACCGCCCGUCAAGCCAUGAAAGACGGGAGUACCCAACGUCACUGCUCUAACCCGCAAGGGAAGUAAGUGCCUAAGGUAAGACCGUUGAUUGGGGCUAAGUCGUAACAAGCUA